rnacentral:lncRNA from 1 species
GAACAAAUUCACCCGGGGACACAUCGGUCCCCGAGGAGGGCGGAGGGGCAGCGAGGAGCUGUGUGCUACCAAGUGCUGCGCAAACACCCGCGGGCCAAGGGCACCGCCAGGAGCCGCCCGCUGUGGGACCCCGGCAGGCCUAGGCCGGGCACGGGGCAGGGCCCGCUGCCAGCCGCCCUUCCUCCCGCCUGCCGCCCGCAGCAGGGCAGCGGGGCUGAGCUCGGAGCGCUGAUUCCAGCCCGCUCGGCGGCUCCGCCGGGCGCUGCAGGCUGCGGGGCCGCUGCCAGGUGGCGAUGUGCGCCCAGGAACGGCGCCUCAGCACAGCCUCCCCCGCCGCCCUCCCAGGCCUCCGGCGUGACCGCCCCGCUGGUCGUGAGAAGAAAUUAGUGAUCCAAGUUGGCUUGGAAAAAACCUGCUGUCUAAACCACAAAGCUGUUUUAUUCUUUUUUUCAACUCAACAUUAAAGUAAGUACUCAUUCUUUAAAAAGACCAUUUGAGAGCUGAAGUGUAAAUAACUAUUUAUUCCAGUUCUCUGGAGGAAAAUGUAUCUAGUUUAGGCAUUGAUUUAGCCCUGAAAAUUAUUUGUCUGUAAUUAUAAAAGACAUUCAGGAAGAAAAUUAAUUAAUCUGAUAGUCUACUAGGGAUUUAUAUUUGUCAAUGUCAAUAUAGUAGGAACAAGUUGGAGGAGUUAACAAGCUAUAACUUGUCCUGAGGGAAAUUCUUUGACAUGAAACAUCUUUUGGUAUGUUAACAUCCUAAAGAAUGCAGUCUACAAGAACCACGUGGGAUGGAGAAGCAUGUCAAAAAGUAUGCAAGUGUCACCAAGCUGCUUUAACAUUUAACUGUGCUGGUGACAACACCUUCUAACUGGCUUAGAUGUGACAGGGUAGGAAAAGGCAGUUUUAUUGGUGUUCAAGCACUUGAUUUCUUCAGCGGGAAGGGGUCUUGCUUGGAAUUUCAGACACUGAAAAUAUGCUUUCUGGAAAAAACAGUGGUCAGGGAACUCCUACUGAUCCAUCAUGGAAUGUACAGUUAGUGAAAAUACAGGAGCAGGUAAGACCAGUUAAGUUCAACACAUGAAUGUUUAAACCCUUUGAUCAGCACAGUUAUGUAUGGAAGCACCAAAUCCAUUUGCCUGAAACUGCAACAGCAGUAGACAGCACUCCACAGCCCUUAACAGAUUCCUAUAUGGUUGGUCUCUGAUAACCCAUGCCAAUGCCUCUAGGAGACUGAUGAUCAUGUCAGGCUGUGGUUGUAUCAUACACAACUGACAUCAGAAGGGCAACUCGCCUGGGCUUUAUUGCUGUGUGGUCCAUCCCCUCUCAGCCAGCUGAAAGAUUUUGCCUUAGCCACACAAUCCUUACACCUUUCCUCUUCCCCUUCUGUGCAGGAAAUGAUGACUGGAGUCUCAAGGUGCCUUUAGGAAUUUAACAUUUACUUCCUUGUGUGAAACCAAACAUUGCUGGUAGGUAGCUGUUGCAAAGAACCUCCUUUUUGUUCGGCUGAAAGUCCCAGGGCAUUUUUCAAUAAAU